GGACCGGGGGCCCGCACAAGCGGUGGAGCAUGUGGUUUAAUUCGAUGGUACGCGAGGAACCUUUACCUGGGUUUGACAUACAGGGGGAUGUGGCAGCGAUGUCACAGACUGGAAACAGUACCCUGUACAGGUGCUGCAUGGCUGUCGUCAGCUCGUGCCGUGAGGUGUUGGGUUAAGUCCCCGCAACGAGCGCAACCCCUACUGCCAGUUACUAACAGGUAACGCUGAGGACUCUGGCGGAACUGCCGGUGACAAACCGGAGGAAGGUGGGGAUGACGUCAAGUCAUCAUGGCCCCUAUGUCCAGGGCUACACACGUGCUACAAUGGGCGAUACAGAGUGACGCGAAGCCGCGAGGUGGAGCGAAUCCCAGAAAACCUGUCUCAGUCCGGAUUGAAGUCUGCAACUCGACUUCAUGAAGGCGGAAUCGCUAGUAACCGCGAAUCAGCAGGUCGCGGUGAAUACGUUCCCGGGCCUU
rnacentral:rRNA from 1 species